AUUGAACGCUGGCGGCAUGCCUUACACAUGCAAGUCGAACGGUAACAGCUCUUCGGAGGCUGACGAGUGGCGAACGGGUGAGUAAUACAUCGGAACGUGCCCGAUCGUGGGGGAUAACGGAGCGAAAGCUUUGCUAAUACCGCAUACGAUCUACGGAUGAAAGCAGGGGACCCUCGGGCCUUGCGCGAACGGAGCGGCCGAUGGCAGAUUAGGUAGUUGGUGGGAUAAAAGCUUACCAAGCCGACGAUCUGUAGCUGGUCUGAGAGGACGACCAGCCACACUGGGACUGAGACACGGCCCAGACUCCUACGGGAGGCAGCAGUGGGGAAUUUUGGACAAUGGGCGAAAGCCUGAUCCAGCAAUGCCGCGUGCAGGAUGAAGGCCUUGCGGUUGUAAACUGCUUUUGUACGGAACGAAAAGUCUCGGGAUAAUACCCUGGGA
rnacentral:rRNA from 1 species